AGUGAACGCUGGCGGUAGGCCUAACACAUGCAAGUCGAACGGCAGCACAGUAAGAGCUUGCUCUUACGGGUGGCGAGUGGCGGACGGGUGAGGAAUACAUCGGAAUCUACUUUUUCGUGGGGGAUAACGUAGGGAAACUUACGCUAAUACCGCAUACGGCCUACGGGUGAAAGCAGGGGAUCUUCGGACCUUGCGCGAUUGAAUGAGCCGAUGUCGGAUUAGCUAGUUGGCGGGGUAAAGGCCCACCAAGGCGACGAUCCGUAGCUGGUCUGAGAGGAUGAUCAGCCACACUGGAACUGAGACACGGUCCAGACUCCUACGGGAGGCAGCAGUGGGGAAUAUUGGACAAUGGGCGCAAGCCUGAUCCAGCCAUACCGCGUGGGUGAAGAAGGCCUUCGGGUUGUAAAGCCCUUUUGUUGGGAAAGAAAGGCAGCAGGUUAAUACCCCGCUGUUCUGACGGUACCCAAAGAAUAAGCACCGGCUAACUUCGUG
rnacentral:rRNA from 1 species